GGGGGUGUAAUGGUCUCGACAUCGACAGUCACGCAUGUGGUGCACUCCGGAGGGCUCGGCUUCGUCAACAACGGCACAGUUUAUUAACUGCAAAGAACGAAAACUCUUACGCCCUCGCUGCCUAAUAAGUAGCUAAGCGUGAUCUGACCGACUUCACCCAAGGGUCGGACCCAGGUCUCAAAUUAAUUGGGUUACGGUCAGCGCCAGCCACCUGAGGUACUGACAAGAGAUAAUCAGGCUCGCGCAGUGGGGUUAGCCUUGCUGCCCGGCGCGCCCGCUGCGCUAAAUCUAAAUGGGGCGACUAUGAGUGUAGAUCUGCAUGUUGGUGGGGUCGGUGGACAGGAGUUCGAUUCUCCUCACCUCCAUUU
rnacentral:tmRNA from 1 species